rnacentral:rRNA from 1 species
GACGAACGCUGGCGGCGUGCUUAACACAUGCAAGUCGAACGAAGAGCGACGGAAGCUUGCUUCUAUCAAUCUUAGUGGCGAACGGGUGAGUAACGCGUAAUCAACCUGCCCUUCAGAGGGGGACAACAGUUGGAAACGACUGCUAAUACCGCAUACGAUCUAAUCUCGGCAUCGAGGUUGGAUGAAAGGUGGCCUCUACAUGUAAGCUAUCACUGAAGGAGGGGAUUGCGUCUGAUUAGCUAGUUGGAGGGGUAACGGCCCACCAAGGCGAUGAUCAGUAGCCGGUCUGAGAGGAUGAACGGCCACAUUGGGACUGAGACACGGCCCAGACUCCUACGGGAGGCAGCAGUGGGGAAUCUUCCGCAAUGGACGAAAGUCUGACGGAGCAACGCCGCGUGAGUGAUGACGGCCUUCGGGUUGUAAAGCCCUGUUAAUCGGGACGAAAGGCCUUCUUGCGAAUAGUGAGAAGGAUUGACGGUACCGGAAUAGAAAGCCACGGCUAACUACGUG